GACGAACGCUGGCGGCGUGCCUAAUACAUGCAAGUCGAACGCAUUUUCUUUCACCUUAGCUUGCUCCACCGAAAGAAAAUGGGUGGCGAACGGUUGAGUAACACGUCUGUAACCUGCCCAUCAUCGAGGGAUAACACUUGGAAACAGGUUCUAAUACCGCAUAAUUCCAUUUACCGCAUGGUAAUUGGGUGAAAGGCGCUUUUGCGUCACUGUUGGAUGUUCCUGCGGUGCUUUUGCUAGUUGGUGGGUUUACGGCCUACCAAGGCUGCGAUGCAUAGCCGAAGGGAGAGGGUGAUAGGCGACCCGGGAAGUGGAACAGGGACAAGACGCCUAAGGGAGGCAGCAGAAGGGAACCUGCGGCAAUGGACGGAAAUAUGACAGAACAAGGCCAAGUGAGAGAAGAAGGUGUUCGGAUCGUAAAAAUCGGUUGUGAGAGAAGAACAGGGAUGAGAGUGGAAAGAGCAUGCGUUGACGGUAUCUAACAAGAAAGCCACGGCUAACUACGU
rnacentral:rRNA from 1 species